rnacentral:snRNA from 1 species
GGAUGUGGGUUGGUUGGGUUGCUCUGGCUGGCUAGGUGGUGUCCCCCUCCUCUCUCACCACCCCAUCUGCAUCCCUUACAAAGCUGCGCUCUCAGUGGAAGAGGCUGACUUCCUGAAUAGAGGAGGACCAGUCUUUGGGUCAAGGGUAUAUGACGAGUCGCUGUGCUCCCCCGAUAGAACCGCUGAACAAGCUCUCAGAAUAGUCACUUAUUACAUGUUGUCACGUAGACUGUUUUAAAAGCUGUGCAUUCACAGAUGCAGAUUUGUUUUUU